GGUGGUGAUGGGGGAACCCCAAAUCAAGUAUGAGAUUGUCUUCUCUUUCUCAUGCAAUUUGAUGAAUCUUUGAUAUUCGAAUGAUGAGCUGAUUCCCGAUGUGAGUGAAUUCGAUUGGUAUUCAUCUGUUCUUCGAUUCAGUUCAAAAGGUUUUGAUGAUUGAAUAUUCUUUUGCGGGUUUUCUUAUCUUGCUCGCCCUUUGGCAUUAGCCUUUUCCCCCUUCGACAUCACUGUUAAAUUUUCUUUCAUGCUACAUCACGCAUCAAACCCCCUUUUUCUGAGAUUUCUGUUUGAAGUACAGCAAUUAUACAUGUUGUUUGAUGCUAUAUCAUGCAUUCAUUCACAAUAAUGAUCCUCAAGGUACACAAUUGGUUUAAGUCUUUGUCUGAUCUGCUUAGCUGCUAAAGUUGAGAUCUUUCACCAUGAAGACUACAUUUGGAGUUGUCCCCAUUUCUUGCGACAAGGCUUUCCCAUCCGAUCUGCCAUCUUUGGUGGUCUAUAGUUGUUGUUCCUUUUGAUCCUUUCUUCUGUUACUUAUACGGGAAAGGGUGAAAAGUUGAUAAGAACGUUGUGAUUGAUUUUUGACUGAUAGAUUAUUAUGUGAAGAACAAGUUGUCGCUGCAUUUGGUGAAUUCAACAGUGCUGUUGGGAAGGGGUGGCACAACCCAGCCCAGGAGUGGAUGCAAGAAAAACUGAGUGAGAAAUUAUAUCAUUUCUCAUUUUUAUCAUUGGAGGGAGGGUUGAAGAAUUGGUCCUCAACAGUAAGAUUUAUCUCUCGACAAUAGUUGGAUUGUGCUAAGAAAGUUUCAACGUUAAAAGUCUUGUGAUAUUGACCUGUUCUUCACAUCUUUUUUAGGUCGAAGCUUACAAUUUUCCCUUAAUGAGAAGAAUUGCUGGAGCUUGAUAUUUCUGAUGAACUU
rnacentral:lncRNA from 1 species